rnacentral:rRNA from 1 species
UUAAAUUGAAGAGUUUGAUCAUGGCUCAGAUUGAACGCUGGCGGCAGGCCUAACACAUGCAAGUCGAACGGUAACAGGAAGCAGCUUGCUGCUUCGCUGACGAGUGGCGGACGGGUGAGUAAUGUCUGGGAAACUGCCUGAUGGAGGGGGAUAACUACUGGAAACGGUAGCUAAUACCGCAUAACGUCGCAAGACCAAAGAGGGGGACCUUCGGGCCUCUUGCCAUCGGAUGUGCCCAGAUGGGAUUAGCUAGUAGGUGGGGUAACGGCUCACCUAGGCGACGAUCCCUAGCUGGUCUGAGAGGAUGACCAGCCACACUGGAACUGAGACACGGUCCAGACUCCUACGGGAGGCAGCAGUGGGGAAUAUUGCACAAUGGGCGCAAGCCUGAUGCAGCCAUGCCGCGUGUAUGAAGAAGGCCUUCGGGUUGUAAAGUACUUUCAGCGGGGAGGAAGGGAGUAAAGUUAAUACCUUUACUCAUUGACGUUACCCGCAGAAGAAGCACCGGCUAACUCCGUGCCAGCAGCCGCGGUAAUACGGAGGGUACAAGCGUUAAUCGGAAUUACUGGGCGUAAAGCGCACGCAGGCGGUUUGUUAAGUCAGAUGUGAAAUCCCCGGGCUCAACCUGGGAACUGCAUCUGAUACUGGCAAGCUUGAGUCUCGUAGAGGGGGGUAGAAUUCCAGGUGUAGCGGUGAAAUGCGUAGAGAUCUGGAGGAAUACCGGUGGCGAAGGCGGCCCCCUGGACGAAGACUGACGCUCAGGUGCGAAAGCGUGGGGAGCAAACAGGAUUAGAUACCCUGGUAGUCCACGCCGUAAACGAUGUCGACUUGGAGGUUGUGCCCUUGAGGCGUGGCUUCCGGAGCUAACGCGUUAAGUCGACCGCCUGGGGAGUACGGCCGCAAGGUUAAAACUCAAAUGAAUUGACGGGGGCCCGCACAAGCGGUGGAGCAUGUGGUUUAAUUCGAUGCAACGCGAAGAACCUUACCUGGUCUUGACAUCCACGGAAGUUUUCAGAGAUGAGAAUGUGCCUUCGGGAACCGUGAGACAGGUGCUGCAUGGCUGUCGUCAGCUCGUGUUGUGAAAUGUUGGGUUAAGUCCCGCAACGAGCGCAACCCUUAUCCUUUGUUGCCAGCGGUCCGGCCGGGAACUCAAAGGAGACUGCCAGUGAUAAACUGGAGGAAGGUGGGGAUGACGUCAAGUCAUCAUGGCCCUUACGACCAGGGCUACACACGUGCUACAAUGGCGCAUACAAAGAGAAGCGACCUCGCGAGAGCAAGCGGACCUCAUAAAGUGCGUCGUAGUCCGGAUUGGAGUCUGCAACUCGACUCCAUGAAGUCGGAAUCGCUAGUAAUCGUGGAUCAGAAUGCCACGGUGAAUACGUUCCCGGGCCUUGUACACACCGCCCGUCACACCAUGGGAGUGGGUUGCAAAAGAAGUAGGUAGCUUAACCUUCGGGAGGGCGCUUACCACUUUGUGAUUCAUGACUGGGGUGAAGUCGUAACAAGGUAACCGUAGGGGAACCUGCGGUUGGAUCACCUCCUUACCUUAAAGAAGC